rnacentral:rRNA from 1 species
UACGUAGGUGGCAAGCGUUAUCCGGAUUUACUGGGUGUAAAGGGUGUGUAGGCGGGUGAUCAAGUCAGAUGUGAAAUACCUUGGCUCAACCAAGGAAUUGCAUUUGAAACUGACCAUCUUGAGAGCAGGAGAGGUAAGCGGAAUUCCCAGUGUAGCGGUGAAAUGCGUAGAGAUUGGGAGGAACACCAGUGGCGAAGGCGGCUUACUGGACUGCAACUGACGCUGAAACACGAGAGCGUGGGGAG